rnacentral:snoRNA from 11 species
GCCCAAUGUAAAGUGCAUUGCAGACGUCCAACCUUGAGAUUACCAACACAUGCACUACCAUCUUUGGGU